rnacentral:misc_RNA from 1 species
GGGAAAGAGAAAGAAAUUUCAACAGUAAGUCUUGCAUUCCUCUUUACAUUUUUUAUUGGCUCUUUAGUUGACUUACCCGCAUCUCUGUGCAAAUGAAGGCUUUCUUUAAAGUUCUGAUGGUAACUUCAUGGAAAUGUUGUAAUAAAAUUGAGAGAAAAAUUGACAGGCCAAGCGAAAUAGGUGAACUGAGAUACUCCAUCUCUACUGUAUGUCUCUUUUGAAAAAGUUGUUUAUAUUGCUUAUAUGCUACAUUCUCAUGUAUGAAAAAGUUACUUACCUGCAUCUUUGUGCAAAUGAAGGCUUUGUUUAAUGUUCUGAAGGUAACUUCAUGGAAAUGCGGUAAUAAAAGUGAGUGAAAUUUACAUGCCAACUGGCCAAGAGAAAUAGGUGAACUGAGAUAUGCUAUCUUUACUGUAUGUCUCUGAUGAAAAAGUUGUUUAUAUUGCUUAUAUGCUACAUUCUCAUGUAUGAAAAAGUUACUUACCUGCAUCUUUGUGCAAAUGAAGGCUUUGUUUAAUGUUCUGAAGGUAACUUCAUGGAAAUGCGGUAAUAAAAGUGAGUGAAAUUUACAUGCCAACUGGCCAAGAGAAAUAGGUGAACUGAGAUAUGCUAUCUUUACUGUAUGUCUCUGA